UAGCUUGCUAAUGAAAUUCUUAGUGGCGGACGGGUUAGUAACACGUGAGAAUCCUACCCUUGAGUGGGGAAUAGCCUUUCGAAAGGAAGAUUAAUGCCCCAUAGUCUCUACGGAGUAAAGAUGCCUUCGGGUGUCGCUUAAGGAUGGGCUCGCGGCCUAUCAGCUAGUUGGUGAGGUAAGAGCUCACCAAGGCAACGACGGGUAGCUGGUCUGAGGGGACGAUCAGCAACACUGGAACUGAGACACGGUCCAGACACCUACGGGUGGCAGCAGUCGAGAAUCAUUCACAAUGGACGAAAGUCUGAUGGUGCAACGCCGCGUGGAGGAUGACGGCCCUAGGGUUGUAAACUCCUGUCAUCAGGGAGUAAGACUUAUUCGUUAAUAGCGUGUAAGUUUGAUAGUACCUGAAGAGGAAGGGACGGCUAACUUCGUGCCAGCAGCCGCGGUAAUACGAAGGCCCCAAGCGUUGUUCGGAAUAACUGGGCGUAAAGCGUGUGUAGGCCGCGCGGAAAGUCGGAUGUGAAAGCCCAAGGCUCAACCUUG
rnacentral:rRNA from 1 species